AAUUUUCAAUCAAUCUUUCCAGCAAGUUUCAAGAAAAAUCUUGGAUUUCAUUCCGUUCUGCAAUCGACUUUCACACGACACAAAAAAUGAUCGUCGUUCCCGGGUCCAAGCAGGCGGUGCGAAGGGUGAAUGCGGAACUGACACGCACACAGCCGCGCGCGACACAUGGCAAGCACAGGUACCGUUGAUGUAUAUAAGCGUUCGCUACAGUGGCGGUGUGCGUGUGGCCUCGAGUAGCCCCGCUCUAGUUCGAUGGCUCGGUCGAGGCUAGCUACCGUCCGUAGGCUGCAGUGUUCGAUCAGAAAGGUUUUCGCCGUCGUUGAGAGUGGUACUGUUUUUAGAGUCUCUGGCAAAUCUGAAGUGUGUAGUAGAUAAAAAAGUACAAGUCAGUUAAUUCCAUAGUUGGAAAGUGCAAAUAGUGGAAGCUGAUCAAGUUGUUAUACGUCCGAUUCGUUUGAUAUUUCACGGUUCGAACACUGCAGUGCGAGAGUCCUAAAGCAGUACCAAAUGAGACAGUGAUGCACCUUUCCGACCAUCCGACCAUCGGGGCUAGCUCUCAAUCGGCUGGAUGUCGUCUGGAAACUGAAACCUAAUCUUGAUUUUGCUUUCAGAUAGAACUCUCGUCGCAGAGUUCUGAAGGGGGCGUACCUAGAGAAGCGUCACCAAGCGUUAUCACAAUCCUUGUUGUGAGAAAGAAAAAGUACAAUCAAAACUCCCCCGGUGUGGGUUCGGAGAAGAUCAUCUGGGCUUCAUCCGCAGUGAUUCGUCGUCCGAUCGUCCGAGAAAGAGAGAGAGAAUAGAUCGCAAUGAGAUACAAUGAGCGAACGCAAGAGAGAAAAGAGUCAUGAGAGAGAGAGAACGAGAGCAAGAGUCAGAGGGAGGCCUUCGUGGUGCUGCCCGCCGCUGCUAGCGCCGCUGUGUUUGCGUCAGAGCUGGUGUUUUCCGAUGCCGAGUUGUGACAAAUGCUGCCAACUGGCCACCUGCCGCGCCUCCGUUUCGGAAGAAGCGGACUCCCCUGGAGUGUCCUCCGUCGAGUCGAGCGUGCAGCGAGCGUCAAGGCGGUACCAACGUCACACCAACACGGAUUCCACAAGCGAAAACCCCCAAGGUUCCGAACAUCCCAAGUGUAAGGGCCCGAGCUGAAUCGAACUACGGCAGCAAGCGGCGACAGCGUCGUCAAGGCAACGACCGAGACGAAAGUCACUGACAGCAGCGUGUAGUGUGUAGAGAAUCCUCUAGUGUUUCGAUUUUAGUGAGUACGUGACAGCAUGCACUAUUGAGAUUUGUAGAGUUGUUUUUUCACUUGCCGCGAAUGAGCGCGUGCAAGAUAGGAGAGAUGGAAAGUGGUCCUCGGUGGGGACUUGACCACCGAGGGGGCCCGGGUACUUUUUUCCUAACCUGAUUUUCUAUUUUCCAUGUAAUGUAGCCGAGGAACAGAGAGCCGAGGCACAUAGACAACAGAGCGCGCUUAUGCAACAUUCGAACAAGACUUCACACAGCAGGCAGGUUUUCGAUUUCAACAAUGCACUUUCGACAGAGCGCAGCGCAGAGAAUGUGGUAAAAAAGUGGGCUUUAAGGUGAAGAAACACGAACAGCGUAGGAACAGAGAGCAAGAGAGAGAAGCAAAGAAAAUGAGGUCAGCUGGUGCAGCAGAGUAGGAGAAAAGAAAUCGAAACGCUUUGAAAGCGACGAUUGAAACCGAAACGCAUAGCGGUAACUAGCGCUGAUUUUUUUCAAUUUGCAACCAGAGUUUUUUCGAGAUUUCUAGAAGGAAGGAGACAGGAGGAGUACGGGGUUCGAUACAGCGAAGCCAAGAGAGAGAGAUAGAGAGAGAUCGCGUGCCAGAGCAUCUAUUGAUGCAAGUCUUCCGACAACGGCUCCCCACUCGAAUCGAAGUAGGCCCAGAGCUGUGAACGUGUCUGGACGUGCCCUGUACGGUGCGAUCCAAGCAGGCCGUCGAGCGAAAGACACACAGGAAGAGAAAUUUACUUUCAUUUUACAAGAUCGAGGUAAAGUGCUAAUCACGUUUACACUUCAACGCACGCAUUUAUUUUCUUGCAGAAACUGGAAAUUGUACCUUAAGCUAGUGCAGGCUGAUUAAGUUAGAGAGUUAGUACCCCUCAACGACUCGAAGAAGGCGAAAACCGAAAGUUAAGACCCCGUCUCCGUUUGGCAAUGCUUCACUAGCUAGCAUGUCAGGCUUGGCCCUGCUUUAACGUAACAAACAACCAGAACUUUUCGACUAUUUGCAGCAAUAUCUAGAGAGCUAGGCUUCGGGACUGUUCUAUCCUAAUUCUAUCCAUCUAUCUACGCAUCCUAACCCCGUGGAAGACCCCGUCGGCGAUGAAUUUCCCCCUAAACCAACAUGGCGGUAAAAGAACUUGAAAUCGACAUGCAAAACCACGAGUUUUCAUCUUAUUGCAGCGCACCAAAGCAACGGUCCGGCUGCCGUCAGCCGAGUUUCUCUGUUUAUCGUUUCUUUGUUCUUUUGUGUUCCUCACCACCGGACGUUCCGGGAUGAUGUGUGUGUGUACGGCACUAGAACCUUCGGAAACAGGGCGCUGCCGCGAGCGAACGAACGAGAGACGUGACCAAUCGGAUUGAUUCUUUCCCGGUCCGGCCACGGUGGCCGAGUUUCUCUGUUUCUACCUUUUUCUCGCCUUUGUUUCAUCUUUCCUAUAAAACCUUGGACCGGGACCGCCUGAACUUCCCGCCCUCCACAUCCUGGAUGACGAAAGGGAAAAGCUUCCGCGGAAUGUUGCGACCCACUUUGGAACUCGGUAAUCGAAAGCGUUCAAAUACUAUCCUCGCCAAAACCCGAGAUUGCAUCUUUCCAGUCCCCCGGAACCGAAGAUCGACGGUCCGGCUGUCCCGCGACGGACGCCGAGUUUCUAUGUUUUUGUUUUGCUUUCUUUCUCUUGACAUACUGUCCGUCCCAUUCCAUAACCAACCCGAGCGAACGCACGAACGAACGAACGCAUUCCCGGAAAUGGACGCGAUCGGAUUCGGAUGGGAAAACGUCCGCCCAAAGGCCCGGCUUUUCUUUCACAACUCCGGUCCGGCUCUCAUAACCAGCCGAGUUUCUGUGUUUUUCUUUUGUUUUUCUCUUAUUUUUAACAUCUGCUGCCUAAUACGCAAUCUUGCGAAACACGAUAACAAACAUACCCUCCCCGUAAAAAGUUGGAAAAGCAAUCACACAGAUAGGAAAGGCAGAGAGAGAGAGAGUUAACAAGUACUCAGGGAGACAGAAGAUGAGGGCAUGUAAAAGCCCAAGACAGAGACAGAACGAGAGGAGAUCGGCAGGCAGAGCACGUCGUUACGAUGCAGUAGGCAUUGUAUGACACGGCUACGACCAGGGCGACGACGGAAUUAGCGGUAACCUUGACAACAGAUACCUUCGCAACCAGAAUCUCCGUUUUCUUUUGCAGUUGAGCCCAACGAGUCGUCUUGUGAGUUUGUCUUUUUCUUUGCUCCGCAAGGGGGGAAUCGAUUCCAUCUUUAGAGGAUAAAGGAAGCAUUCCAUCCAUUCGAAACGAAGGAGCGACCUGUUUUGGACGGCCACGGAAACCGUAAGCUUACCGAAUUAGUUCGUACAACCAGAAUUUGGAAAUUUUUGCAGCUAAAAUUGUAAAACAAUGUGGGAAACGGCGAUUUCGAGCGACCGAGUUGGUGCCAACCAGAACACAAAUUUGACCCAUCGCAGCUACAUAUUGUGAAUGGAGCGCGCGGUUCAUCGUUGAACGUAAGCAAAUGUCUUUUUUUCCUCGACAACCAGAAUUUUCGUACUUUGCAGCUUUUGAAAUUUCCACAAAUGGAACAAAUUGCGUCGGAAGACAAAACUAGCUAUCUAGAAGGCAGGCCAUGCCGCCAAGAAAUUGCGCAGUUGCCAAGGGCGACACGUCGACGACGGUACACUCUAAAUUGGAACGAGCGGUAAACCAGUGUUGAAAUAUUUCCCCCGACAACCAGAAUUUUAGUCUUUUGCAGAAAAUCGAAAUCUGAGACGUAGUUACAUCGCGACCGAAAUCGUGUGGCGUUUUUCCGAAAUUGUGCGACCAAGGUUAGAUCCGUGCGUGUGCGUGUUAGGCCUUUUUGGCGGUCCACCUUCCCACCACCACCACCACCAACACCAUUCUUCAGCAGAAACAUCUGGCUUUUCUUGUGACGUUCAGCAAUUGCGUCGUGUUAUGCGUGCUUCUUCUAACGCGGGAUUUAGUGCCUCACCUCUGUAGAAAGAGAGAGAGAGAUGGUGUUUUAAGUGUGGAAACGAAUAUCGCCUACUGCGAUUCGGAAGAAAGCCCCAAUACCCGAAGAGUUUGGGAGAGCAUGUGGUGGUAGCUAUGCUAAUUUUGUUUACUCUAUUUUUGUAACUUUUUUUACUCUACCUUUUUACGUCUUUAAACCGAUCUAAUAAUUCACUUUGUAGUGCGUUUAGUGAUUUACUUUGUGGUAGAAGUUAACCGCUUGGUUGGCGUUCAGUCGGCCAGCGGGGUUUGUUUUUAUGAUUAAACACGUAAUUUAUCUAUUUUACAGAAGCGAAAAAGAACGGCAAUUGUUACUACACUCUAAUUUUACUACUAGUGUUUGAAGUGGUUAUACGUUUAUUUGUUUUACUGUAUACUGGCUGUGAAAUUACAUUUUAAGAGUUAGAAGUACUGGAAAAUUUGUACAACCCGCUUGAACUAAGGCUAUGUUUUGGGCUUUUAUGUAACAUUUUUAUAUAUUAUAUACAUUUACAUUUACGCACAUAAGUGGUUCCAUUUCUAUUUUUAGAAAGUGUUAUGCUUAACCUCUACUGUGUAUAUUCUAUCAAAGAAAAAUAAGUUAUUAUCCUCCAUCUAGAAAUGCUUUUGUGUGUUAAGAGCACUGAACAAAAUAUGUAAUCCCAUUAUUCCGCCAAGUGCAAAUGUGUACGGAAUCGAAGAUAUAUUAGCACCUAAGCAGUGACUGACUUGUAGUAGUUUGUUCAUAUUCCUAUCGCAUAACUAACACACAUACACUGAUCGAUGUAAUAUGCCUAUUUCUAUUGUGCUUGCAAACCAAAAAUUUUCAAAUGAAACCCCACCAGAAGAAAAUCUAUUGUGACAUGAAAAAAUAUGAAAUCAGAAGAUUGAAGCUGAAUUGCGCUACGCUUGAAGCGAACCCAAAAGCUUACUGAAUGUAUUGUAAAUGUGAUUGUAGAAAACGAAAAAGCUGCGGCUUCGGUGAAGUUCCCAGCGUCCUAAAAUGAAAGUUAUGCGAAGAGAGCAAAGUUUAGAAGAAAAAUAUGUGCAAAAAAGCGAGGCAAAUUUCGCUCGGUGUUGCUCUGCAGCGCCCAGCAUGGAUAGGAAAUUUGCGGAGUGGAGAUGACGAGGCUACUCGCUCGGUGUCCCAUGGGCAUCCAGCACCCCCCCCUCAUAAAUGUAGAGUAGCAAAAUGAUUAGAAGUUGAAAAUUUAUGCGCUAUAAAAUGAAAAUUGUGCUCGGUGUUCUGUGAAUUGCCCAGCGCUGAAAAGAUGAAAAUGGAAAAAAGAAGUUGAAAGUUUGUUACGUUUUUACCCUUGUGAUUUGUCCCAGUGUUUUUUAGCAGUUGACAACGAAUGAAUUGUUUAUUGUUUAACUUGUUUUUACACUAGUGUUAGUGUGUUUUAACUGCUACGAGAGUUGAAAAUUUGUGAUUUCAAAGUGUAAUGUUUCUUUUAUUGUAAUAUGCUUUUGAAAAGUGCCAACAGAUUUCAUUGUAUGAUAGAAACCGAAAAGCCAUUGCAUUGUAUUUGUAUUGUGAUUUUGAACCUAAAGUUCUAGAAAAUGUAUGUUUUUCUUUAAUGUUCAUUGAAAUGUUUAUCCGCAUUGCUCGAUACGAGCGGAAAAUCUAAACAAAAAUUGUAUAGUGAUGUGAAGCUACAAAGAAGUGCCGUUAGUUUUUUCCCCAAAAUGCUAUGUGAUUUCGAUCAAGCUUGAAAUUGUAACCCCCAUUUAUAACAUUUCUAUUGUUCUGAAGUAUUGUAAUGCCAUUUAGUGCACAUUCACAUUCGCAAACCAAGUGUAUAUUAUAUAUUAAUAUCGUAUAAAGUUGGAGCAUGCGUUACGUAAAAAAAAGCAAGUAGACCACAUACACACCAUACCAACCAUUCACAUACCGCCCGCAAGCAUCAAGUGAUUCAUCCAAGCAAGCCGGCCGUCGCGCAAGGACGUGGCCGUGGCCCCUGUGCACAUCGCCGCUUCUAUCUUCUUUCCGGUUUGGCGCAGAGAUAAUUGCGAACACCCUCUACCGCUACUACUACUACUAUUACUAGUGCUACACUACUUCCUCACAUACUUGGUUCAUCCCCACGAGCAACGAGGCCGAGCAGAUUUUGCACGAAAUACAUUCCGUCUGUUGCAUCCCCCCCUUUUCGAUAACAACCAUUGAUGAUGGAUGUCAUCCACCGCACGCACGCACCGCAAGAAGACCUAAACGCACCCCAAACGGGAUCGGUUCAGCGCAGUUUCCGAACAGUGACCACACGAAUAGGCUUUUCCGAAUAUCAAGCAGAGAACGAGACCAAAACGUUACGGUAACGCCCCUCCUUUUUUUUAAACAUAACCUUGUGGGAGGGAAGAGGGGUUCUUUCUUUUAUUUUCAGAUGGGCUAUUGUCGCCCCCCUCUUCACUAAAACUAUGAUUGACACGCAUAUCUUGCGAGAGAUUUGGGUUCCUUGUAACUUGGGUACACGAUCGAUUGAACGAUUCGAGGGUUUUCGACGCCGAAUCAUCCCCCCUUUCCAUGAAGUAGGCUUUGGCUCAGUGGUGUUUGUGAGAUUUUCCGAAUUUUUCGACCGUGGCAUCAUCCGUACUACUAUGGCUACGUGCUGAUGGCUGCGUCACCGAUUUGGCAUCGUUCGUCCCUCCCUUGGAGUGGAUCAAACGAUGAGGCCGAUUUUUUUGACGAGGAAAAUGUCCCCACGUGGAGCAGUGAUAGGAAAUUCCCCCCCUUACUUAAGGGCAUCGAGGUUUAGGAGCAGUGAAGUGAGAGUGAACAGUGAGAUGAGAGGAAAUUUUGCCAUCCGAUGAGACGGAGCUUUGCAACCCCAACCCUUGAGGAAAAGUGAAAAUGUGACCAAAUGAAUUUCGACCAGCCAACCAAAGGGCUUUGAUGCGUUUGUGGAGGCUGAUUUUUGAGAGAGUUCCUGAUUUUGAUCAACACAUGAUUCAUCAUUAGAACGAGCGAUAGUACAUCGUCUGCUAGGAAACAUCGCUAUGCGAUUUCGAGAGAGUGAUUUAAACCAAUUGCAACGUAGAAGGGGCCUUUCCCCUAGUAUUGAAAAGUCAACGAGUUCAUCAAUCAAUUAAGAGAGCGUUUACGAGAUGAAUUCCAAACGUCAAUGGUUUCAUCUUCGUUGAAUCGCUACGGUUUUCCCAUCGAUCAAACAUCUAACGUGUGAUAUUCUAGUCAACUGCUGAGAUGAAUUCCAUCCCUCAAACCGAAGGGUUCAUUCUCAUGCAAUGUAGAUGAAAUGGGUUCAUUCCUUUCAACGCCGGUCAGCAUCUUCAACAGAAUUCGAAAACAUGAUCAGAAUCUUGAUGCGAUUUGAUCGAGAUGAAUGCCCGCACCCAAUGGGAUUCAUCGUGACCAGUGAAUACCAAAUAUCGAGAUGAAUACCCCCGUCCUAUGGGGUUCACCCGCAAAUGUUCACCCGUGAACAACGUGAAAACGUCAAUGCAGAUUUUUUUGGCGCCGAGAUGAAUUCCCGCCUCCAAUGGGGUUCAUUCUCGUGGAAUGCCGGAUUUGAAUUCCCGCGUCCAAUGGGGUUCACUUCCAGGCGCGCCUGCCAGCUCAUCCGAGCUUGGCAACGGAAUCGGCAACGCAAAAUGCAGUUUGUCGUGAACAGGAGAUGAAUUCCCGCGUCCAAUGGGAUUCAUUCUCGUUCGUCUGCAGCAGCAGUGUAGAAAAAUGUAAAAAAUUGAAAGUAAUCUGGAAAUUUUCCUGAAAUAAACACCGAAGGAGAUUAAAAGUUCAUCGAGUAAAGACGCAAUCGACUACUACCGAUCGGAGGCAGCUUUAGUGAAAAGGCUUUCUUAGCCUCAAACAAAAUUAAAAGUACCGCUCCAAUGAGGUGAAUUCCCUCGCAAAAUGGGGUUCAUCCUCUCCACAAAAGACGAUUCGAAAGAGCGUGAUAAUGUGAUAAAAAUUCUAAGAUGGUAAAUUUAUAAUACGAAAAGGAUGUUUCCAUCCAUGGACUUAUUAUAGAACAUUAAAAGUGAAAGUGAUAUCAUACAAAAAGUUUGCAAACUGCGAGAUCUUCAGAGAUGAACACCGCGCUCAAUGGGUUCAUUCUCAAACGCCGUCACAAGUUGAAAAAGUGCCGUCAAGCCAAUUCCAAGCGAAAAGGCUUUCCUUCCAAGGACAUUCCAGGCUCAUGAUAGCCCCCAGUAAGCAAUAUUCAAAAAGCCGGGCGUGAAGCAAUUCUAAAGUGCAUCGCAAGGAUAGUUUCCGAUCUUCAGAGGAUUCAUCCGUUUGUCCAAUUAUGUCAAUCAACGUGAACCGAUCCGGUGAUCCAGCAAUAAAUGGCUAUUCUUUCCUGUGAUUCAUCAAUAAUCCGAAUAUUUCAACGCCGCAACUCGUCAUCGCUGCGAGAUGGGCUUCGCCUUCAAUCGGGUCCAUUCUCAUACUGCCGCAUCCGCAAAUUGGGUUCGUCCUCGGUUCAUCCGUGACCUCACAAGCGCAAAAGUAUCUCCCAGCUGGCAGCAUCGUUUGAUAUGAAAGUGUCUUUUCCGAUGAGAGAGCGAGAGAGCGAUCGAGAGCAAGAGAAAAAGGGCGAAUGAGCCACGCCAUUCGAUUGUGUAAAAGUGGUUUUCACCCAUUGUUCAAGAAGCAUUUUGAGUGGGGCCCAAAGGCCUUUUGUGUUUCCAUGUGCAGCAUGGCGCGAGUCGAAAUGUGAAAGUUCAUCGUGCGAUCAAUGUGCGAGUGAAAUGUGAAAAUUUUCAUUUGAGAUGAAAAGCAGCCCUUGAUGAGAGAAAAAAAUGCGAUUUGCGCAGAAAAGGCCUUUUUUGAGUGCCAAAAAAAUCCAUUCCUAUGGAAAAUCUAAAGUUUUUACAAGACUCUCAAUUUGCGAUAAGUGCGCGAGAAGCGCUUUAUUUCUUCGUGAUCAUGUCAGCAAAAAGGCGAUAAUGAAAUAAGUGAAUGUGCAAAGGCCCUUUAUUGGUGCCGCGUUCCUGAAAAAUAGUGUCAAAAGCCGCAAUCGGCAGGCAUAAAAUGUGGUUAUCAAGAGGCUUUAAUCGCCGAAGAUCUUAAGUGGAAAAUAGCCUUCCAAAGGCGUUGCUGCAAAAGUAAUAUAUCGAUCAGAUGAAAGCAAGUUGCUACCAAAGAAGUGAAUGAAAAGGCCUAUUCGGCCGAAAAGUUUAAGCAAAAGGUUCCUGCUGAAAGUAGUUCCCAUUCGAGAGAAAGAGAGUGCUAAAUGAGUGAAAGGCUUUUCAGUGCCUGGAAAAAAUGCUCGCCUUCUGUGAUGAGUUCCGCAUGUUAUGGAAGUCCGAAAUUGUAGUCGCAUAAAGGCUGUUUAAGCUUUCGUUUCUUUUCAUGUUUCAUGAAGAGGAACACUGCCCAUAAACAGACUUUUUCUACUGCCGAAUAGAGAGUGAGAAAAUUCGAAAACCACGUGCGAUAGUAUUUGAAGGCUGACGCGAGCGCGCGCGCGAGGUCCACCCAAUUGAAGACGGCUGAGGCGGCGAUGACGGCGUAUAGUUCAAAAAUCCGAUGACACGAUCCAAGUAGGCCGCCGGUAACGACCAAUACAGCAGAAGACAACUCCACACCGUACACUUUUCCGCACUACCCUCACCUAACCUAGUACGGAGAAAAUGUAUCGAUUCCGCCUGGUUGCUUCCUUCGGGGACCGCCCGGGCUCGCAGAGGCACUCUUCCUGUGGUUGAACUCAGUUUUUGGACGGCGUUUACGAGUCUCAAAACCACCACUUAUCCACUACUCCAAAAUAGAUGGGCAAACAAAUUUCUAGGAUUAGGCGACGGGCGUUAAUCAUCGAAAUCAUCGUCGGAUGCAGAAUAAUACGUAUGAAAAACCAACACACUCAAGUUCCUUCCUUCGAGACCUUCCAGAAUAUUUAAAAAACAAGAAGAAACAAAAAGAAAACGCACAUAUCUGAAAACUCAACAUUUUCUUCCUAUUUUAACCUAUCGAUGCGAAAGCUGUUCUACUAUUAUAUAACCUUCGACGACCGUUUAUGGGUUUUGUUUUUGUUUCCAAUACUGGCCGAGCUGGCUAAGCGAGCCGGGCGGCCUUUUACCUUGAGCCUGGAUGCCCCAACCAAGGACGCCCGGAAGAGUGCCUCGAGAAAUUGAUCUUUUCUCUUCCUAUUCCUAAAAACAACUGUCCAAAACGAAGAAGACACGAGCACAACCGAGAAACGAAACGACGGCACGGAAGAAAACGAACGACACGCGACGCGCGGGUUCGGGUCGACCGACGUCGGACGAUUUCAGGCAGGUGGCCCAGGCUAGCGUGAAGAGGAGGCUGAAAGUCGCGAGAAGAUGGGCCGAGAACAAUAGGGAAUGCGGUAGCGGAGGGACCAUCGGUCGUGCUCGGCAAGCGAGAAGAGCUUCGAUCGCCGGCGAGCGGUCGAAGCGGCAAGCGAGAAGAGAGCACGAUCCAACGGAGGGACAGGACAUCGAAGGAGGCGGCGGCUGCGGAGGCGGAGAUGAGGACAACAACUGUGGUUGGCCAGCGAGAAGAGCCUGACGGUACGGACGGUGCCCAGGCGGCAAGCGAGAAGAGACCACAGCCACGAGGGAUUUCCGGCGGAUUUUUUCUGGUUUUGUUUCGAGUAGAAUCUUCCAUAGCUGAGGUUGAUAGAGUUUCCGACGUUUCGUCCAACAAGCUUUUCCAUCGUCUAGGUCAAGGAUUUAUUCGAUUUUCAAAAUGAUUCCCUCAGAGGAACAUGUUUUCUGAACUAGUCACAUUUUCACUGCAACUGAUUUACCUUACUUCACUGAAAUUCUUCUCUACUCGAUUUGCGAGUUAUUCCAUUCGUAUUCUCUAAGCAAAUGAUGUAAAACUAAUUUUACAAUCGAAACAUUUGUACACGUUAUUUGAAAAAAAAAACAAAACAACAAGACUGAAA